rnacentral:lncRNA from 1 species
GUACAUUACUAGGGAUGCACAACUUGUAGAUGCAGACAUCUAGAUUAUAAUUGUGACAUUCACGUCCCCAUAAGACAGACCUUGCGUGCUGGCAAGCAGUCAUUAUCUGUGGCAUGUAAACAGUUUCACUUUUAGCAAGCUUUUCAAGCCGAAGCCACAAUUAAUUGUCUCCAGUUGCUGACUUUGUUGAAGCAUUCAAGGUGCCAUUGCCAUUGGCACCCAGGUGUGUGAGUUGGAGGAGGAGACCUGCUUUCCUGAGGGCAGCCAGGAAUAUGCCUUGACAGCAGUACUGAUGACCAACCACAGUCCUCAAGCCACGCAGAGUGGUCAGAAGAAGCAGAAACAUGAUGAAAUCCAAGUCCCACCUCUGUUUAAAAACAACCAUGAACUCUGCAGCAUACAACAUCAGUACCCACUGGCAACCCGUACAAGCAGGAGAUCGCCAGUGCAUAUCUAGGCCAUGUUUGGAUAUCAAUUCAAAACUUAGAAGUUGGGAAGCAGAUAAGGCCAGGAGAGAUUCAUUUGUAGUCAGCUUGCAGAAGGAGAUGGAGAAUUUCUCCAACUAGACUUACCAGCCCGUCGUUGUGAUAACCAAGACUCUACAGAAAAGAGAGCUCUUCAGUGAGGCCAAGGCUAAUGGCUUCAAGUACGUCACCUUAGGGGGGUCAGCAUAAUUUUCUAGCUAUGCGAGAGAUGCACAAACUGCAUUCUGAGGAGGAGCUCUUCAAAAGUCGACGGUGCAGUGUUUAUUAUCAUGCAGCACUGUCCUUAGAAGCCACCCUGGCCUUGGCAAACAUCCACAAUGUCAUUGGUGGAUUUAGGCACAUCAUUACGUGGAUUUAAGAUGACAUUCAAUAACAAGGUGCAGUUGUGUCACACAAUAAAGGAGGAGACAGCACUCCCAGGAAAGGACGAGUGGAAAAACACUUGCUGCAAAGUCUUGAACCAGAAG